rnacentral:rRNA from 1 species
UGAGCAAUCUGCCCUUCUCUUUGGAAUAAGCGUUGGAAACGACGUCUAAUGCCGAAUACGACCUCCUUUCGCAUGAUCGGAGGUGGAAAGCUCCGGCGGAGAAGGAUGAGCUCGCGGCCUAUCAGCUAGUUGGUGUGGGUAACGGCCCACCAAGGCGACGACGGGUAGCCGGCCUGAGAGGGUGUCCGGCCACACUGGGACUGAGAUACGGCCCAGACUCCUACGGGAGCAGCAGG